rnacentral:tRNA from 1 species
GCAUCGGUGGUUUAGUGGUAAAAUUAGCCGUUGCCAAGCAUCUUCGGCUAGCCCCGGGUUCGAUUCCCGGCCGAUGCA